CCACCAAGGCUAGUUUCACCAUAACAUUGUCUGAGUGCCCUCUGUAAAACCAUUGAAAGUAAUCGAUGCAGUGGAAUAUGAACUGAUAUAUCCUGCAAACUGACUUUAUAUGAUAUAUUAGGCCAAUCAGACAAACACAGCACCCCGAGAGCUUCCAACUCAAGGUCAUAAUCUCCUUCAAGCAUACUGUCAUCAACACUACCAAAGAUAUAUUAGGCCAAUCAGACAAACUCAGCACCCGGAGAGCUUCCAACUCAAGGUCAUAAUCUCCUUCAAGCAUACUGUCAUCAACACUACCAAAGCCAGUUGUUUCUUGGGCCAAAUUCUGUCCAGAAUCCAAGGCAAUACCACCAUUCGGUGACAGAUAAGAAUAUUGCUUAUUGGAAUCUUCAGUUGAA
rnacentral:lncRNA from 1 species